AGGCGACCCGAGCCGCCAGCCGGGCGUGAAGACCUCUGGACAUCUGAGCCUAAGCAGGGCCACUAAAUGAGAGAGAAUCCCAUCACUGAAAAGCAACAAUGAAUAUAUUAAGGACCACAGGAGAGAUAGAAGAAAUAUUGCAACUGAAGCUGCUAGAUGGUUAUGAUUAUCUGAAUAGGUGUGAUCUUGACUUUAGCGAAUUAACAGGUAAGCUUCUUACUAUGAGGUUGGUGCAAAAGUAAUUGUGGUUUUUGGUAAUUGCACCAACCUAAUAUAAGUA
rnacentral:lncRNA from 1 species